UAACGAUAAAGCGGGUGAAAAGCCCGCUCGCCGGAAGACCAAGGGUUCCUGUCCAACGUUAAUCGGGGCAGGGUGAGUCGACCCCUAAGGCGAGGCCGAAAGGCGUAGUCGAUGGGAAACAGGUUAAUAUUCCUGUACUUGGUGUUACUGCGAAGGGGGGACGGAGAAGGCUAUGUCAGCCGGGCGACGGUUGUCCCGGUUUAAGCAUGUAGGCGGAGGUUCCAGGUAAAUCCGGUACCUUUUAACGCUGAGGUGUGAUGACGAGGCACUACGGUGCUGAAGUGAUAAAUGCCCUGCUUCCAGGAAAAGCCUCUAAGCAUCAGGUAACACGAAAUCGUACCCCAAACCGACACAGGUGGUCAGGUAGAGAAUACCAAGGCGCUUGAGAGAACUCGGGUGAAGGAACUAGGCAAAAUGGUGCCGUAACUUCGGGAGAAGGCACGCUGAUGUGUAGGUGAAGCCCCUGCGGGUGGAGCUGAAAUCAGUCGAAGAUACCAGCUGGCUGCAACUGUUUAUUAAAAACACAGCACUGUGCAAACACGAAAGUGGACGUAUACGGUGUGACGCCUGCCCGGUGCCGGAAGGUUAAUUGAUGGGGUUAGCGGCAACGCGAAGCUCUUGAUCGAAGCCCCGGUAAACGGCGGCCGUAACUAUAACGGUCCUAAGGUAGCGAAAUUCCUUGUCGGGUAAGUUCCGACCUGCACGAAUGGCGUAAUGAUGGCCAGGCUGUCUCCACCCGAGACUCAGUGAAAUUGAACUCGCUGUGAAGAUGCAGUGUACCCGCGGCAAGACGGAAAGACCCCGUGAACCUUUACUAUAGCUUGACACUGAACACUGGUCCUUGAUGUGUAGGAUAGGUGGGAGGCUUUGAAGCGUGGACGCCAGUCUGCGUGGAGCCAACCUUGAAAUACCACCCUUUAAUGGCUGGUGUUCUAACGUAGACCCGUAAUCCGGGUUGCGGACAGUGUCUGGUGGGUAGUUUGACUGGGGCGGUCUCCUCCCAAAGAGUAACGGAGGAGCACGAAGGUUGGCUAAUCCUGGUCGGACAUCAGGAGGUUAGUGCAAUGGCAUAAGCCAGCUUGACUGCGAGCGUGACGGCGCGAGCAGGUGCGAAAGCAGGUCAUAGUGAUCCGGUGGUUCUGAAUGGAAGGGCCAUCGCUCAACGGAUAAAAGGUACUCCGGGGAUAACAGGCUGAUACCGCCCAAGAGUUCAUAUCGACGGCGGUGUUUGGCACCUCGAUGUCGGCUCAUCACAUCCUGGGGCUGAAGUAGGUCCCAAGGGUAUGGCUGUUCGCCAUUUAAAGUGGUACGCGAGCUGGGUUUAGAACGUCGUGAGACAGUUCGGUCCCUAUCUGCCGUGGGCGCUGGAGAAUUGAGGGGGGCUGCUCCUAGUACGAGAGGACCGGAGUGGACGCAUCACUGGUGUUCGGGUUGUCAUGCCAAUGGCACUGCCCGGUAGCUAAAUGCGGAAGAGAUAAGUGCUGAAAGCAUCUAAGCACGAAACUUGCCCCGAGAUGAGUUCUCCCUGAGACUUUAAGUCUCCUGAAGGAACGUUAAAGACGAUGACGUUGAUAGGUCGGGUGUGUAAGCGCAGCGAUGCGUUGAGCUAACCGAUACUAAUGAACCGUGAGGCUUAACCUU
rnacentral:rRNA from 1 species